GCAAACUUGGUCAUUUAGAGGAAGUAAAAGUCGUAACAAGGUUUCCGUAGGUGAACCUGCGGAAGGAUCAUUAUUGAAUAUUUGAAGUAGUUGAGCUGGUCUCGACUGAGACAAGUGCUUGCUGCUUCUGUUCAUUUCGUCCACCUGUGCACUUACUGUAGGGCUUUUUGAGGAAGGGAAUUCCUGGCUUUGACUCCAGGAGUUCUUAGUAUUCAAGUUCUAUGUAUUUUACACACUCAAUGAAUGUUUCUGAAUGUCUUUUUAUUGGGACUUGACUGACCCUUUAAAACUUUAUACAACUUUCAGCAACGGAUCUCUUGGCUCUCGCAUCGAUGAAGAACGCAGC
rnacentral:misc_RNA from 1 species